UCCAGGGUAAGAAAUAUCGACCGGGCGC
rnacentral:piRNA from 1 species